UGCGGCAGCAGGCUUCUUUCAUGUAACACCAGGAGUAUUUUUUAUGGCACAUUAGCAUGGCCUGGAAGCACUUCUGGGUGGAGCAGGAGCCCGACAAAGUAGGCCCCAAUGGGACCCAACAGGGCUGAGUAGCAAGCAGGAAUCCAUCUGCCAUGAAGCCCUGAGGGAACCUGUGGGCCUGCAGCAACCCAGGGAGGCUACUGUCUAGAUAAAGAGAUAAUGCCCUAUGCAUGGUCUCUUUCCCAGUCCGUUCAGUAUACAGAUGUCCCUGCCAGAAUGGAAGAUUGCAUUAUCUUAGCCUCCUGCACCCACCCCGUCAUGCCUGGAACAAAUAACACUGGAAGUUCGCCCAGUCUGAGUUCAAUUCUGAGCUUCUGUAUGAAAGGACGUUACCCACAACUGGUUGUGUAACUCAUCCCUCAAAGACAUCAAGCCCCACGGGUGACUCACAACCAUUAUAUGCUUGACCAAUGAAACGAUAUCUCCAUUAGAUUUGAGAAAACAGCCUGUCAAUUUGUCUUUACUUAA